CAGCAGCCGCGGGAAUACAGAGGGUGCGAGCGUUAAUCGGAUUUACUGGGCGUAAAGCGUGCGUAGGCGGCUUUUAAGUCGGAUGUGAAAUCCCUGAGCUUAACUUAGGAAUUGCAUUCGAUACUGGGAAGCUAGAGUAUGGGAGAGGAUGGUAGAAUUCCAGGUGUAGCGGUGAAAUGCGUAGAGAUCUGGAGGAAUACCGAUGGCGAAGGCAGCCAUCUGGCCUAAUACUGACGCUGAGGUACGAAAGCAUGGGGAGCAAACAGGAUUAGAUACCCCCGUAGUCCCUGUCUCUUAUACA
rnacentral:rRNA from 1 species